rnacentral:tRNA from 1 species
GUCCUCGUAGUUCAACGGAUAGAACGGGAGCCUUCUAAGCUCUUGAUGUAGGUUCGAUUCCUACCGAGGGCACCA